rnacentral:lncRNA from 10 species
AAGGACUGUGCUCCCAAUCCGCUUACGCUCAAGGAAGAACUGCCUGGAAGCCCUCCCUGGUACCAUACCCCAGCCGAUGAGUAUGUACCCCCAGAAGUACUUCCGCUCAGAGAAGAAGGAGACGGCAAGCAGGGUGUACAGGAAGGCCCAGAACCAGCCUGCUGUCAGGAUCAGAACAAAAGAGGAGGACUGCAUAUGUAUGGACCCACUCCAGAUGGCACGGGGACGGGGGGAGUAGGAAAAGUGGCAUGAGACCAGGCCCACAGAGUAUGGCUGUGCAAGUUGUUCACUCUACAAGGGCACCUGGCCGGGGUCUUACCUUGAAUGGAGGAGAAGAGCUUGAAGAUGAGGGGACAGGCCAAGACAACUACCUGGCCCCGAGGGGUGGCUGGCCAGCAGAUGAGGAAAUGGAGGCACAGACUGAUUAGAAAACCAGCUCAAGGUCAUGUUGCUGGGCUCUCUGGUGGAGCCUCUGUCUCACAGGUCACCUGCAGGCCAACACUCCCAGAAGCAGCUAGCACCAUGGUUGACCUCGUCCAGGUCCAGGGAAGGCCUCCCUCUCC